GCUCCCAUGGUCAAGCGGUUAAGACACCGCCCUCUCACGGCGGUAACAGGGGUUCGAGUCCCCUUGGGAGCGCCA
rnacentral:tRNA from 1 species